AGAAAGGAAAAGAAGAAAUCACAUCUCAGAGAGAAGACUGGUCUUCCUGCUCCCUGGGAUCAAAUGCCAUCAUCUUGUUAACUUAGUCCUAACUCAGCCACCACAAAGGCCCUCUUGAGUUCCCAAAGUGCCCCCCAAACCAUGAUAGGGCCCAAAGCAUGAAAGUCUGUAAUCAUUUGCCUUCACUGGAUCUCAUCAUCACAGAGGAAGUAGACUAGGAGAAGAUUCACUUAUAGAGGCAACAAAUACUGGUGACCAAUGAAAAUGAUGUCUAUCACAUCAUAGGCUGGGCAUUUCAUGGAGAGGACCACAGCAGAUGAGAAGACUGAGAUUCAGAGAAGUAAAGUAUCUUGCUUUGGCCCAGUGGUAAAACCAGGAUUCAAAUGGAGGACCCUUGACAGAGAUUCAUCAUUCGGCUCCUUGGGAGAAUGAGCUUGCAAUGUUAACUACGGUCUGAGACCCCGGCACUGAGUGAAUCAGCCUGACAUGGAGAGAACACUUGUGGUAUGAAGCCCUGUCUAGUGCAAAGCGUCUUUGGGAGAGCUACAAGGUGGGCAAAUAGCAAAGCACAGAAAUGGUGGGCACUGAAAGAUGUCAGGAAAACCUGUGAGGCAGAGGAAAACAGAAAAAUAUAAAACACACUUUUAUCAACAACUUUCACCUGUCAAGUCACAAAAGGGCUGCUCAAAUAUCCCUGUGGUGGGCAUAAAUCCACAUCUCUUUCCCUGGGAAGUAAAUACUCAGUCAAAACAAUGAAUAGCAAAUGUUGUUCUAAUGAUUACUAAAUCGGAAUCAUUCUGUACUUGUCUUUUAGGUUAGCCUUGCCAGUUAUAGAAAAACAGAAAUAAAACAGAGGAAUAAUGUUACACUGUACUUCUGUAGUAGUAAAAAAAUAAAAGUAAGGACAUCUAACAUUGAUGUUUUUACA